ACGGGAGGCAGCAGUGGGGAAUAUUGGGCAAUGGGCGCAAGCCUGACCCAGCAACGCCGCGUGGAGGAUGAAGGUCUUCGGAUUGUAAACUUCUUUGAUCAGGGACGAAUAAUGACGGUACCUGAAGAACAAGUCACGGCUUACUACGUGCCAGCAGCCGCGGUAAUACGUAGGUGACAAGCGUUAUCCGGAUUUACUGGGUGUAAAGGGCGUGUAGGCGGUUUGGCAAGUCAGAAGUGAAAUUCCUGGGCUCAACCCGGGCGCUGCUUCUGAAACUGCAGAACUUGAGUACUGGAGGGGAAAGCGGAAUUCCUAGUGCAGCGGUAAAAUGCGCAGAUAUUAGGAGGAACACCGGUGGCGAAGGCGGCUUUCUGGACAGUAACUGACGCUGAGGCGCGAAAGCGUGGGGAGCAAACAGGAUUAGAUACCCUGGUA
rnacentral:rRNA from 1 species